rnacentral:rRNA from 1 species
UACGUAGGAAGCAAGCGUUGUUCGGAAUUACUGGGCGUAAAGGGCUCGUAGGCGGCCAACUAAGUCAGACGUGAAAUCCCUCGGCUUAACCGGGGAACUGCGUCUGAUACUGGAUGGCUUGAGUUUGGGAGAGGGAUGCGGAAUUCCAGGUGUAGCGGUGAAAUGCGUAGAUAUCUGGAGGAACACCGGUGGCGAAGGCGGCAUCCUGGACCAACACUGACGCUGAGUGAGCGAAAGCCAGGGGAGCAAACGGG